rnacentral:rRNA from 1 species
CCUACGGGUGGCAGCAGUGGGGAAUAUUGCACAAUGGGGGAAACCCUGAUGCAGCGAAGCCGCGUGAGUGAAGAAGUAUUUCGGUAUGUAAAGCUCUAUCAGCAGGGAAGAAAAUGAUGGUACCUGAUUCAGAAGCCCCGGCUAACUACGUGCCCGCCGCCGCGGUUAUACGUCGGGGGCAAGCGUUAUCCGGAUGUACUGGGUGUAAAGGGAGCGUAGACGGCAGCAUAAGUCUGGAGUGAAAGGCCGGGGCUUAACCCCGGAACUGCUUUGGAAACUGUGCAGCUAGAGUGCAGGAGAGGUAAGUGGAAUGCCUGGUGUAGCGGUGAAAUGCAUAGAUAUUAGGAGGAACACCAGUGGCGAAGGCGGCUUACUGGACUGUAACUGACGUUGAGGCACGAAAGCGUGGGGAGCAAACAGGAUUAGAUACCCUAGUAGUC